GGGUUGGCUCAGUGGCUAGAGCAUAGGUCUUGUGACCGACAAGUCGCGGGAUUGAAUCCCGCCAGAGGCUCA
rnacentral:tRNA from 1 species